AUGAAGGCGAUGAUGCUCAAAGGAAAGGCGCACAUGGCGGAGGAAACAGCUUUGGAGGUCUGGGGCCAUGGAAUUUCUUUCAGAGAGGAGUUAAAGGAGUGCCUUAGCAACAAUCAAAGAAAUGGUCUUACCUACCCAACCCCAGAACAGCCCCAAGCACUUUGUAAUAAUAAUAGUGUGAGUUCAUCUCCAGAUGCUGGAAGAAAUUGUGAUUGCUUAUCUCAGCGUGUUUCAGGCAUCCCAACCAUUGAUGAGCUGGAAGAAAGUUUGCAAAAACUGAACGUCCAAGUGAAUAGCUUGGCCUCCAGUCUGGGUUUCCACCCAGAUCAAGAACACACUUCCAGUCCGGACAAUUCGGUUGAUCCAGCUCCUUUCAGUUAUAGGUGGCCAGUGACUCCUGCUGGAAUUUAUGAAGCAUCGUGCGCUGGAGGGCCCCCGAAGCCCGCAGCAGAGACAGAAUGGUUCAUGAAGCCGAAGCAUCUCCUCAGACCUAUAGGAGAUUACUCGGCCCUGUCUAGCUUGGGUCUUCCAACGUUUGCCACAUCCCGGAUCAACCGGGUGACAGGGCUCCUUGGAAGCGAGAUUGCAGGCCGGCAUUGGGGGCCUUCGGAAGACCUCUCUUUUCCACUGAAACUUGGGGCUCCUCAUGUGAUUGGGGUCAAGUCCUUGCUGCCCCCUAAGAUACCGGUCCGAGGUUCACUGCCAGGAAGAACUUCUUUCCCCUCCACCAGAGGCCGUUCGGUGAGCCUCGAACGUUCAGGGGCGGCCCGUUCACGUUCGCUCUCUCCGGCUGCCAAACACAACCCUGCGCUCCGAUCCCGCUCGCAGUCCCCACGGCCUGUCUGGAGACCCAGCUCAGCGAAACCAAAUGCCUGCGCCCAGCCACCGCCUCGGAUGGCAGCCCUGAGGGGUUUGAGAAAGAAGAACGGAACAAGCCAAGUGAUGCAUUCCAGGAUAUUCCGGCCAGGGCUGUUAUCUGCUAGAUCCUCGAAGCCUGGGAAAACAAUCAGAAGAGCAACGCUGAGUCCUUACAGUUUGCCUUCGCCUGCCAUCAGUUCACCAACAGCUCAAGAGAUCAAUGAACGCUUCCUGCAGACUCUUUCUGAAAGCACCGUUCGAAGAGCUGUGGUUGACAUGUCCCCUUACCAACGAGAACUGGCUCGCCUCCGGCUAGAGCAGCUACGAGUGGAAGAGGCCUGGCUCCUGGAGCUGAAAAGGCAGCAGGAACUGGAACGCACCCGGGGACCCAAACCUAAAUGGUAUGAGAUGAGGACCUCUCAGUUCCACUACGAAGCCCACAAAAAUAAUGAACUUUUGAGAAACAGCCAAGAGAUCCAGACCAUUUCUAAUUACAGGCAGCAGCUAGCCACCGCCUCCAAAGAGUUCCAACAGGAGCCUAUUCUGACUUACCUCGAGUCCAGCGCAUAAGGAGGGAUAUUUUGUGGUCCCUGCAACUCUCUGGUGAGGAUCUGUUUGUAAGAGCUGGCAGAGGGGACAAUCGGAGAGCAUGGGUGACUGAGAGAGAUGCCACUUUUGGGAGUGUGUGCUGGCGCUGUAACCUAGCUACAGCUAAAUUUUUUGAGUGUGAGUCUGUACAGCUCUUUGUAGAAACUGGUAUAAAAUGGGAGGCAGAGUAGACCUAGCACUGAAUGUGAACAAAUUAUGCUGUUAUAGCCAUCUCUGGCUACCAGACCCAUUUGUAGAGGAAAAGGAGAAAUGGUAGAAUAAUUCAUCAAGAAGUCUUUACCCACUGGGAAUGUUUUAUUAAAUUAAACAUUAGGUUAAUUUGUUCACAUGGCAUCUGGCACCUUCUGCAUGACUCCCUUGACCUCCACUGGCUCCACCUCCUUGACCUCCACCUCCUUGACCUCCACCUCCUUGACCCUUUGUGCACCAUCUCCUUGAUCGCCUCACCUGUGAACACCCAAUCUAGAAGCCCACCAGCCACCACUGAAUGUUAUAGAAUUGCUCCAGUAACAUUGCAGAUAGGGUUGAUUGUGCCAGGGAAGCUACAAGAUGCUGGAUGUGCCAUUAAACAUUUGCAGCUUACUAUCCAAGUACAGACUGAGUCAAAUUUGGAAAUCCAUUCGCUGUCCCAUCUCUUUCAAGAUUCCAUCCGCUGAAGUGAACAAUCUUUGUCUUACCUAAUGGUUUAUUUUGUCCUCUAUUCUCCACCAGAGUCACUGGUCAGUGGGCUAGUGCAUUAUUACUGCUUCAGUACCUUUCUCAAAUGUAGAAUCUGCUUCUUCCUCUGCCCUGUCACUCUCAGUAAUUAACCACUUUUGAUGGUCCCUCCCGUUCCACAGACAUCAAACGCUAGAUUCAAGGCCUUAUCAUCCCGCCAAAUUAUGUUCCCCUUGCAGAAUCCCCCAGGAAGAAUCUCCCAACCCAAAUGGAUGAUUUCUCCUCUGUUUUAUUCACAAUCUUCCAAAGGAUGCAUUAGAGUAUGAAGGGAGGCAGUUGCUAUCACAUUAGUAAAACUGUACACAGAAGAGUUGGGUAAAAAGCGAAGCUGGCGUAGAACAAUUCAGGACGGACUACUAUGGGCAUUUUGACGUGGGAAAGACGCAAGCCAUUGACUGCAACACGUUCUCACUAAACACAGUAGCCCUUGUUAUUUACUAGUUUGUUACUCGUGAGUUUUGCAUGCAGGGGAGGGAGCAUCUGGAAUACUCCAUUGAUACCAACAAGCAAAAAAUAUAAGGGAACCUGGACAUUCGCUAAUUAGAACGUUGCCUUUUUCAGGUAAAGCGGGCAUGAAAAUGGCACUGUGCCCCAUUGUUUGUGAAUUUUUAGAAUCCAACAGGGUAGGGGGGUUCUUAAAGCAUAGCUUGCAAUCCGUAAUGGUGGUGAUGGUGCCAACAAAACCCCACAGCCAUCCUUCUCCAUUAUUCUUUUAUAUGGAAAGGGAGCUUCAAAGCCAGGGGGUACGGUCCACCUUUCUGCUGCAGUUUCUUUUUCUUUUUUUCCCAGAGGCCCAUUCUACCCUAGCUAUACCUCAUUGGCAAGGUGCACAUCAGUCUUAGCUGAUUAGGGUUUAGCAGAAUUGUGCAGAGACAAUUAGCUGCUAGGGAGAAAUAAAAUGCUCAACAGGAGAAGGUAGCCA
rnacentral:lncRNA from 1 species